rnacentral:rRNA from 1 species
GAUGAACGCUGGCGGCGUGCCUAACACAUGCAAGUCGAACGAAGCGCCUUUUGAGAUUCUUCGGAUGAUUGAUUGGUGACUGAGUGGCGGACGGGUGAGUAACGCGUGGGUAACCUGCCCUGUACAGGGGGAUAACAGCUGGAAACGGCCGCUAAUACCGCAUAAGCGCCCGAGGAGACAUCUCCUUGUGUGAAAAACUCCGGUGGUACAGGAUGGGCCCGCGUCUGAUUAGCUGGUUGGCAGGGUAACGGCCUACCAAGGCAACGAUCAGUAGCCGGUCUGAGAGGAUGAACGGCCACAUUGGAACUGAGACACGGUCCAAACUCCUACGGGAGGCAGCAGUGGGGAAUAUUGCACAAUGGGGGAAACCCUGAUGCAGCAACGCCGCGUGAGUGAAGAAGUAUUUCGGUAUGUAAAGCUCUAUCAGCAGGGAAGAUAAUGACGGUACCUGACUAAGAAGCUCCGGCUAAAUACGUGCCAGCCGCCGCGGUAAGAC